UACGGAGGGGGCGAGCGUUAUUCGGAAUUAUUGGGCGUAAAGGGCGCGUAGGCGGCUAUACAAGUCAAAGGUGAAAUCCCUCGGCUCAACUGAGGAACUGCCUUUGAAACUGUGUGGCUUGAGUUCGGGAGAGGGAUGCGGAAUUCCAGGUGUAGCGGUGAAAUGCGUAGAUAUCUGGAGGAACACCGGUGGCGAAGGCGGCAUCCUGGACCGAUACUGACGCUGAGGAGCGAAAGCCAGGGGAGCAAACGGG
rnacentral:rRNA from 1 species